UCAGAAACUCAAAGGAAUUGACGGGGCCCGCACAAGCGGAGGAGCAUGUGGUUUAAUUCGAUGAUACGCGAGGAACCUUACCUGGGCUCGAACGUAAGAUGACUGUAGGUGAAAGCUUACAUCUCUUCGGAGCAUUUUACGAGGUGCUGCAUGGUUGUCGUCAGCUCGUGCCGUGAGGUGUCGGGUUAAGUCCCAUAACGAGCGCAACCCCUACCUUUAGUUGCCAUCAGGUAAUGCUGGGGACUCUAAAGGAACUGCCUACGCAAGUAGUGAGGAAGGCGGGGAUGACGUCAAAUCAGCACGGCCCUUACGUCCAGGGCUACACACGUGCUACAAUGGCCGAUACAGAGGGCAGCUACCUGGUGACAGGAUGCAAAUCUCCAAAGUCGGUCUCAGUUCGGAUCGGAGUCUGCAACCCGACUCCGUGAAGUUGGAUUCGCUAGUAAUCGCGCAUCAGCCAUGGCGCGGUGAAUACGUUCCCGGGCCUU
rnacentral:rRNA from 1 species